AAAGCCCACGAGACCUCAUCGGGCCUCCUGUGAGGCCUACACCCGUGUAGGGCCAACGUGGCAGCCACAGCUGGGUGAAGAUGCGUUCCUGAGCAUGCGAGGCAGGGGGAGCGCUGCAGCCCGAGACGCUGUAAUUAGGCCUCGGUAAUAACAGGCUCCGUAUCUCCUGCGCCCUGUCAGGGAGAAGAAUCCAUCUUAUCGCUCCUUCAGUGCUCACUGAGAUGCCACGCCCAGGCUCCGGCAGUUGCUCACCUCUGCCCCACUUUGUUUUUCUUCCCAGUGUAUCACUUCCUAACUCACCACAGAUCUCAUUCUUUUCUCCCUGUUCUCCACACCAGCUGUCAGUUUUGGUCUGGCUGGUCACGGAUGCACCUCCAACGGCUGAGAUGGCACCUGUCACACACCAGGCUUGACUCCAGUCCCCGAAGUCCUGCUUGUCAGUGUUGCUCCACACAGAUUCCUUCCUCCAGGAAGCCCUCUUGUGGCUACGCUGGCCUGCGUCUGCAUGUCAGGGACUCGCUUCUGCUCCACUCGGCCUAUCUAGGGACCCCUCGGGGCUUGGGCCCUGUCUUCCAGGUCUCUCGGGACUGGCCAUGCGCCGGGUCCCAGCAGAAAAGGAAGGGCGUGAACGAUCCUGUGGAAGCCAUGGCUGCUCCCAAGUGAAGCCCCCGCUGGUUCCCCGGCUGGAUGGAGAGCCCCGCAAGGCAGGCUUCUCUCCACCUUCGCCGUUUCCCAAAGGCAGAGGAUCUUUUGGGGUCUGCCACAGUUACAGGACGCAUGCUGAAACAGGGCCCUGUGUAACAGCCUCGGGGCGGUGAGGACUCCACGGACGCCCACCGCUCUCCUGGGGCUGGGCCAGUUAUGGCUGGAGUGGGUUUUCCCAUAAAGCACGGCGGUGCUUGUGCCGAGGCCUUCGAAUCCUUCGCUCGCCCUCUGCGUGGUGCGAUCCCCUCAGGGUCCUCCUGACCCUCACUUCCGGCCCUGGAGCUGGCCGCCGGACUCUUGUCAUUUACCUGGACUCAGGUGUUGUGGUACAGAGGCGGAAAGCGACCAAGGUGCAGCCCACCUCCCGGGUGCCUGCCAGAUGUGCCGCAGACGUCGAUUUCCUGCCAUCUUUCCAUUUUCAAGCUCUGUGCCAGUUUUUGCUUCUAUUUAUAAAACUUAUUCGUAUCUAA